GCGGUCCGGGCUGCCUGCGCAGUCAGGCCGGCUGCGUCUCUGAUCCCGCAGAGGUUCGCAGGUGGUUUGAGGCGCCACACUGUGCAGAGCGCUGCGAGUAGACCUGCAGCCGGGCGGACGCGGGAGGGAGGGCUUCAGGACUCUGCGCCGGGCCGCUUUUCCCAGGAGGACUUGGCGCAGCGGCUCCUAAGGCCGCGGAGGGCGCGAGAGAGCCCGAAGGGCGUGGAGCGUGCGCAGAUGCGACCCUGACCGCGACUCCUGCUCGGAUCCCCGACUCAGACCAGGACUUCGACCCCAACUCCCGCCUGGAUCCCCGACCCUAACUCCGACUCCCCCCCCGGGACCAGGACUCUGACCCCGACUCCGAUCCGCAGACCCAGUCAGGUCUUGGCGCGGGGAGGGUGCUGCCCAGGGGAGGGCUUUGCUGGUGCAGCCUCUGGCCCCUGGGCGGUGCCUGGAAGGUCCUGCGCGCUAGAGGACGAGGAAGGGGCCUCGGGUAAGAGCAGGGUCUUCAGAAGAGGGUAGCAGACGGCUGGCAUUCUUGUCCUUCAAGAUGCUUAAUUUCGGAGAGGUUACAACCUUCUCCUGGAGGCAGGCGGACUCACUCUGGAAGUCGUGCCCAUCUCUUGUGUCCAGGAUCACAGCCCAAGAGAAGUAGGCCACUCUCGUCCCUGGGGAAAGGGCAGGGGUCUGAGGCAUCCUGCCCUUGGGAUUCCGUACCCUAUGGUCCCUCUUUCGCGGCCCACCUGAGGUCUGGUGCUUGAAUGCUUAGCUCUGAGACUGCUGGUUGUGUUACAGGGUCACUUCAGCUUGUUUCUCUGUUUUUCUGUAUUCCCCAGAUUCCUGGUCGCUCAAGGAGAGCCAGUUCUCCUAACUGCUACCUAGUGCCUGGCGCCAUGUCAAACAUUCAUUUACUCUUCACAGGGCCUGUGCUCUCCGACCUAUGGAUUCAGGUGUGACAGGAGUGACAGGUAUGACACACGUCAGCCAUCCUUCCCCCACAGUCGUGAAGCUAGAAAGGUUUGGGGACUUUUUAAGUGAAGUGUCCCGAGCAUUGGCCCUUGGCUGCAGGCCUGGCUGGUUGUGGGGAGUGGCUGCCCCCGACCUGCACAGGGGCCCCCCUUCCUUUCUCACGUUCUCUCUUCACAGCCCAGUUUCCUCCUUCAGCGUUUUUCUUCCCUGGGUAAAUUGUCCCACCCACGUUCUGCCCUCCGCAGACCAGUCCCGUGACUAUGACCAGGCUUCCGACAGUGGUUUCUUGCACGCUCGCACCCUAUCAAAGCUUGUGCAACUCCUCCAGACAGGAAGUAACCAAGCCCCACACUCACCCAUUCUCUCCAGGCAGCACAGCAGAUCUGUGACUCAGAGCCUUCCGUGUUUGGGGAGAACACAAGAUGCAACCCUAUUAACGUUGUUUAAAAGUGUUGGAAGCUAACCUCUUUGCAAGAGUUAGUUGGAAGCUGUGCAGGAAGAUGGCAGGAGCCGGGCUUUGGAGAAAGAGUGCUGGCUUAUGUCCUUCCAAGUCUGUGACCUUGAGCAAGGGAUUACCUUCUCCAAACUUCACUUUUCUCAUCAGCAAAACAGGGAUAAAAUUAUCGUCAAAAGGAGGCUGAGAGUGUGUCCCACGGAGCUGUCAUAAAGGUAAAAUGCAAUAAAAGCAUGUGAAAGCAGGACUUCGUGAGUAGCCUGGUGACUAAGGAUCCAGCAUUUUCACUGCUGUGGCCCUUGUUCGAUCCCUGGCCCAGGAACUUCUGCAUGCCACAGGCACAGACAAAAAAAGCAUGUACGUGAAAGCAGCUUGUCCACAUCCAGGACGCUGUGGGAAGCGAGGUUCUGGGAAACAUCCAUUCAUUUAUCCAAGAGCAUUUACUUAACUGCUUUGAGGGCUGGCUGUGUCCCCCGCCUCAAGCGAGUGGUUGGCCUUGACUCUGAAACCUACUCUGCUUCAGUCCACGUCUGCAGGGGCCUCGGGAUGGGGGGUUUGGCUAGAGGAUUCAGGCGCCCUGUGGCCUGGACCUGGAAGAGAAGGGCCUGGGAGAGUGGCGUCUGCACUCCUGUCACCUGCUCCCUUUACUUUUUCUUUUUAGGGCCACACCCAUGGCAUAUGGAGGUUCCCAGGCUAGGGAUCAAAUCUGAGCUGCAGCUGCCAGCCUACACCGCAGCAACAGCAGCGCCAGAUCUGAGCCGCAUUUGCGACCUACAGCACAGCUCAUGGCAAUGCCAGAUCCUUAAUCCGCUGAGCGAGGCCCAGGAUCGAACCCACAUCCUCAGUGAUACUAGUGGGGUUCAUUUUGGCUGCGCCACGACGGGAACUCCUGCCUUACUUUUCUGUACCUCGUGACUUGUGUUUACUUGCUUGGGCUUCUCAGCCCUCUGAGCUCUACCCGGGGCCUCUGGCUCAGCUUCCUCCAAGUCCACCAGGCAUGCUCACAUGAACUGCCUCGCCUCCAGGCCUGACCUAGGCCUCUGCCUGGCUUCCUGAUACCACGGUGCAAAGCCUGGCCUCAGGAAGUGGAGGGGCCGCAGGGAGGGAAGAGGAUCGGGGGCCCCCCAUGCUCUUGCGGUCCCUCCAGCUCCACGCUUGAUCCUUGGUGUGGAGGAGUCCUGGCUCCUCUCCCCGCCGAGGGGCUGCAUGCAGGGCCUCAGUCAGGCUGCUCAGGGGACGUACACCCAUCGCCCUGUCUGUGAAAAUAGGAACAGUGCUUUAGCAGUAUGGGGACAGAAGUGAUCUUUGGGGUCAUAUUUGGUUUUAAGAGCUAUUGUAGUUCCCUCUUGCUCUUGCUGGUUAAGGAUCCGGCCUUGUGACUACCGUGGCUCGGGUUGGAUUCCUGGCCCCAGAACUUCCACAUGCCACUGCCAUAGCCAAGAAAGAAAAGAAAAGAAAAAAAGAUCUAGGCUUCAUUAUUAAUAUCAGAGCAAAUAACUAUUUCCCUUCCAAAUUAGGCAGCUUGGCAGCAACUAAAGGGCUAAACUUUCUAUUUAAGUAUUUAUUUAUUUUUUGCUGCCUCGAGGCAUAUGGAGUUCCCGGGCCAGGGAUCAGCUCCAAGCUGCAGUAGCACUUGCAGCCACGCCAGCUCAUUAGCCCAUGCUCCUGGUACCCUCGUGCCCCAGCAGGAAUUCCUAAACCUUUUUAGAGCCACACCAGCAGCAUACGGAGGUUCCCAGGCUGGGGACUGAAUCGGAGCUACAGCUGCCAGCCUGCACCACAGCCACACCCAUGCCAAGACCUGAGCCACGUCUGUGGCCUACACCACAGCUGUGGUCGAACCUGCAUCCUCAUGAUACUAGUCAGAUUCUUAACCUGCUGAGCCCCAAUGGGAACUCCCUCCUAAACUUUUUUUUUAAACACGGUGGCUCUGCAUCUGGCCUGGCCUUGGGGGUAAUGGCCGUACCUGUGACCUUCUGUCUGCCGCCUUGAAUGACCUGGACUGCACCUGGAGAUCUGGCUGAUAUCAGGAUGUUGUCUGUAAAAUACACCCUGUGGGACGUUUGAAUAAAGUCAUCGUGUGAAUGUUGGUGAA